AUUGAACGCUGGCGGCAGGCCUAACACAUGCAAGUCGAACGAGUGGCGGACGGGUGAGUAAUGUCCGGGAAACUGCCCGAUGGAGGGGGAUCACUACUGGAAACGGUAGCUAAUACCGCAUACCAUCGGAUGAGCCCAGAUGGGAUUAGCUUGUAGGUGGGGUAACGGCUCACCUAGGCGACGAUCCCUAGCUAGGCUGAGAGGAUGACCAGCCACACUGGAACUGAGACACGGUCCAGACUACGACGGGAGGCAGCGGUGGGGAAUAUUGCACAAUUGGCGCAAGCCUGAUGCAGCCAUGCCGCGUGUAUGAAGAAGGCCUUCGGGGUGUAAAGUACUUUCAGCGAUGAGGCGUUACUCGCAGAAGAAGCACCGGCUAACUCCGUGCCAGCAGCCGCGGUAAUAC
rnacentral:rRNA from 1 species